GAUUUACCCUCUAAGAUAUCCAGAUAACUAGCUUUGUUGGAAAACUAUAAUUGCAGCAGAAAAGGAAGAAGCAACAAAUCAUGUUUGAACUCUGCUCUCAUUGACAAGGUGUAGAAGGGGAAUAUCUUUUGCCUGUGAAAUAUGCUAGAAAAGAUCAAACUUUGGAGCUGUUGGAAUUUUGCAACAUUUCCAACUUUGCAGUUUUGUGGGAAAUUUACUAAAGAAUUUGAAUAAAUAAGCUACAUGUAAUAGGCUGCAACUCCUCCCACCCCGAAAAAGAACAGGAAGCCCAAUGACUGGCUGCUGCUGCUAAGGAUUAAUUGCAAACCGGGAUGUGAAUCCAUCAUUGGAAAUGGAUUUGGAAAUCAUGGCUUGGAUUAAUAUUGGUAAAUCCCAGAUUAAGUGAAAUUUACUCUAAAAAAGUCACGACUAAAUAAAUCAAUGAAAAUAAAAUCCUUUUCCUUGC